AGGACGAACGCUGGCGGCGCGCCUAACACAUGCAAGUCGAACGAGAGAGAAGGAGCUUGCUUCUUCGAUCGAGUGGCGAACGGGUGAGUAACGCGUGAGGAACCUGCCUCAAAGAGGGGGACAACAGUUGGAAACGACUGCUAAUACCGCAUAAGCCCACGGGUCGGCAUCGACCUGAGGGAAAAGGAGCAAUCCGCUUUGAGAUGGCCUCGCGUCCGAUUAGCUGGUUGGUGAGGUAACGGCCCACCAAGGCGACGAUCGGUAGCCGGACUGAGAGGUUGAACGGCCACAUUGGGACUGAGACACGGCCCAGACUCCUACGGGAGGCAGCAGUGGGGAAUAUUGCACAAUGGGGGAAACCCUGAUGCAGCGACGCCGCGUGGAGGAAGAAGGUCUUCGGAUUGUAAAC
rnacentral:rRNA from 1 species